GGCAUGUGCGUUAAUUGCGUCAAAUAUUUUAACGUGAUUAAUUAAAAAAAUUAAUUACCGCCCAUUAACGCGAUAAUUUUGACAGCCCUAGUUCAUUUCACUCAUUUUUGUUGUUUUAUUACCUUACAGCUUUUACAGACAACAUUUUACCGGCCAAGUCUUAAUUUUAAUUCAUAUAUAGGAAAGUCAAUUACAACCGAUGACAUUUUCGGCCACUUCCGCGAAUGGUUAAACUGUGAAAAUUAGCGGAAAACAUUGCAUGCUGAUUUACAGUGUGCGCCCCUGAAUCUUCUGCUUGUGCCCUUAAAAUUUGAUGUUAGGGGCCACUGUGCUUCUUGUAAAAAAUGUUAUUCUGGAGUCCUGAUUGCAUUUACACACCCUUAUUGUCUUUAUCACAUAGGACAAUCACAAUAUUAAUGACGCUUAGGUGGGUUUAAGUUUUUUUUUUUUUUUUUUGUGUAACGGUAUAGUGUCUAGGCCUGAUUUAUGUGAAAUAGAUAAGAUACAGAACCCUCACCCUUUGGGUUGUUCUUGACAAAGUACUAGAAAAUCAUGACUUGCCUGCGAAAACUAAAGAUAAAGAAGGUGAUUAUUGAGCUGCGCAUAUUGAUAAAAAUGUUGACCAGACUUCACUCCAAGACUUCAGUCACGUCAGCGUUAAAACUGCACCAGAUUUAUGUCAACAGCAACCUUCAAGAACCAUUAAAUAGCAAUUUUUAAGUGUAACAAAUGAGUUAUUUUGAACUGAGAUUGACUCUUUAAAGGGGAACUGAAGACCUUUCCGGAUUUUGGUGUAAUUUUAUGAAUAUAAACUUGGGACAAGUUCGUCAAAACAACCAUGACAUUAUCAACACGUAAUUGUAAGGAUAAUUUGCGUUUUUUUAGUUUUUUUGCACUCCGUUAAUGGUCCCUUCGCAAACCCGGAAGUGUGACGUAGGCAACAGAAGACUACUUACAGCUAACAUAGCAGCAACAAUGAUGUCAGUGAUAUUUCCACCAAAGGUAACCAUUCAGGAUCGCUCUUUCGUGACGCUACCGAUGGCAAAGGCUCCCAGGAAAGAUGAACUACAAUUAAUCCCUACAUGUUUGAACCUGAGGCGUCAGAUGACGGCGAUUUACUUGACACAGCAGAUGGCGUCAUGACGCCAAUUGACAGCUCGACACUUCACGAACGGGAGAGUGGUGUUGCUGUAAACCGUCAAGUAAUUACCCUUCCAAGAGUAUGCCUGUGUCAUCAGGAGAUCCCAGACGUGAGAGCCAAACUUGCGGAGGCUGAAGCACUGACAGGGGCAUGAAUUUCAUUAAAAAAAUAAAACCAUAAAUUGUUAACAACA